GACGAACGCUGGCGGCGUGCUUAACACAUGCAAGUCGAACGGAAAGGCCCUGCUUUUGUGGGGUGCUCGAGUGGCGAACGGGUGAGUAACACGUGAGUAACCUGCCCUUGACUUUGGGAUAACUUCAGGAAACUGGGGCUAAUACCGGAUAGGAGCUCCUGCUGCAUGGUGGGGGUUGGAAAGUUUCGGCGGUUGGGGAUGGACUCGCGGCUUAUCAGCUUGUUGGUGGGGUAGUGGCUUACCAAGGCUUUGACGGGUAGCCGGCCUGAGAGGGUGACCGGCCACAUUGGGACUGAGAUACGGCCCAGACUCCUACGGGAGGCAGCAGUGGGGAAUAUUGCACAAUGGGCGGAAGCCUGAUGCAGCAACGCCGCGUGCGGGAUGACGGCCUUCGGGUUGUAAACCGCUUUCGCCUGUGACGAAGCGUGAGUGACGGUAAUGGGUAAAGAAGCACCGGCUAACUACGUGCCAGCAGCCGCGGUGAUACGUAGGGUGCGAGCGUUGUCCGGAUUUAUUGGGCGUAAAGGGCUCGUAGGUGGUUGAUCGCGUCGGAAGUGUAAUCUUGGGGCUUAACCCUGAGCGUGCUUUCGAUACGGGUUGACUUGAGGAAGGUAGGGGAGAAUGGAAUUCCUGGUGGAGCGGUGGAAUGCGCAGAUAUCAGGAGGAACACCAGUGGCGAAGGCGGUUCCCUGGGCCUUUCCUGACGCUGAGGAGCGAAAGCGUGGGGAGCGAACAGGCUUAGAUACCCUGGUAGUCCACGCUGUAAACGGUGGGUACUAGGUGUGGGGUCCAUUCCACGGGUUCCGUGCCGUAGCUAACGCUUUAAGUACCCCGCCUGGGGAGUACGGCCGCAAGGCUAAAACUCAAAGGAAUUGACGGGGCCCCGCACAAGCGGCGGAGCAUGCGGAUUAAUUCGAUGCAACGCGUAGAACCUUACCUGGGUUUGACAUGGAUCGGGAGUGCUCAGAGAUGGGUGUGCCUCUUUUGGGGUCGGUUCACAGGUGGUGCAUGCCUGUCGUCAGCUCGUGUCGUGAGAUGUUGGGUUAAGUCCCGCAACGAGCGCAACCCUUGUUCACUGUUGCCAGCACGUUAUGGUGGGGACUCAGUGGAGACCGCCGGGGUCAACUCGGAGGAAGGUGGGGAUGACGUCAAGUCCUCAUGCCCCUUAUGUCCAGGGCUUCACGCAUGCUACAAUGGCUGGUACAGAGAGUGGCGAGCCUGUGAGGGUGAGCGAAUCUCGGAAAGCCGGUCUCAGUUCGGAUUGGGGUCUGCAACUCGACCUCAUGAAGUCGGAGUCGCUAGUAAUCGCAGAUCAGCAACGCUGCGGUGAAUACGUUCCCGGG
rnacentral:rRNA from 1 species